AGCAGUAGCCGCGGGAAUACGUAGGUCCCGAGCGUUGCCCGGAUUUAUUGGGCGUAAAGCGAGCGCAGGCGGUUAGAUAAGUCUGAAGUUAAAGGCUGUGGCUUAACCAUAGUACGCUUUGGAAACUGUUUAACUUGAGUGCAAGAGGGGAGAGUGGAAUUCCAUGUGUAGCGGUGAAAUGCGUAGAUAUAUGGAGGAACACCGGUGGCGAAAGCGGCUCUCUGGCUUGUAACUGACGCUGAGGCUCGAAAGCGUGGGGAGCAAACAGGAUUAGAUACCCGAGUAGUCCCUGUCUCUUAUACA
rnacentral:rRNA from 1 species